UACGUAGGGCGCAAGCGUUGUCCGGAAUUAUUGGGCGUAAAGAGCUCGUAGGCGGUCUGUCGCGUCCGUUGUGAAAACACCGGGCUUAACUCGGUGCUUGCUUUCGAUACGGGCAGACUAGAGGCAUGCAGGGGAGAACGGAAUUCCUGGUGUAGCGGUGAAAUGCGCAGAUAUCAGGAGGAACACCGGUGGCGAAGGCGGUUCUCUGGGCAUGUCCUGACGCUGAGGAGCGAAAGUGUGGGGAGCGAACAGG
rnacentral:rRNA from 1 species